rnacentral:rRNA from 1 species
AACGAACGCUGGCGGCAUGCCUAACACAUGCAAGUCGAACGAGACCUUCGGGUCUAGGGGCGCACGGGUGCGUAACGCGUGGGAACCUGCCCUUAGGUUCGGAAUAACUCCCCGAAAGGGGUGCUAAUACCGGAUAAUGUCUUCGGACCAAAGAUUUAUCGCCUUUGGAUGGGCCCGCGUUGGAUUAGCUAGUUGGUAGGGUAAAAGCCGACCAAGGCGACGAUCCAUAGCUGGUCUGAGAGCAUGAUCAGCCACACUGGGACUGAGACACGGCCCAGACUCCUACGGGAGGCAGCAGUGGGUAAUAUUGGACAAUGGGCGAAAGCCUGAUCCAGCAAUGCCGCGUGAGUGAUGAAGGCCUUAGGGUUGUAAAGCUCUUUUACCCGGGAUGAUAAUGACAGUACCGGGAGAAUAAGCUCCGGCUAACUCCGUG